CACACACGCACACACACACACAGGCACGUGCCCCUGUACGUCCGCAGGUGCGAUGGCGUCGGUGCUGUACAUCUUAGACUCGAAAGGGAGUCCCCUCAUCUACCGCAGCUACCGCGGCGAUGUCUCACAAGACGUCCCGAGCAUCUUUCAGCAGCGCGUCAUCGACGAAGAAGAGUGCCGCAUCACCCCCGUCUUCGAGGAGCAGGGCCACACCUACACCUUCGUGCGUGAGAACGACGUAUAUUUGCUCAUGGUGAGCAAUAUCAACGCAUGCUCUCUGCAGCAGGUCGCCUUUCUGCACCGGUGCGUGUCCGUCUUCAAGGCCUAUUUCAAGACAGUGACGCAGGAAACGGUGCGGGACAACUUCGUCAUCAUUUACGAGCUGCUCGAUGAGAUGUGCGACUUCGGCUUCCCGCAGUUUACGGAGGAGAAAGCGCUGCGGGAGUACAUACUGCAAAGCACUUUUCUCACCAGGAUCAUGGGCAACAAGACGACGCUCGCGCAGAGCGAGCUGCCGGCGGCCGUGACGGGGGCCGCCGGGUCGACGCCGUGGCGCCUGCCGCGCAACUACAAGUACUCGAACAACCAAGUAUUUCUGGACGUGAUCGAGCAGGUCGACAUGCUCGCGAACCAAGCCGGCGAGACGCUCUCCAGCGAGAUUGUUGGCACUGUCAAGAUGCAGAGCCGUCUUUCUGGGAUGCCCACCUGUACCGUCGGCGUCAACGACAAGAUUCUCUUCGACCGAACCGGCCGCAGCGGCAACACGGUAGAGAUGGAGGACAUCACCUUCCACCAGUGCGUGAAGCUGAACCAGUUCGAAAGCGAGCGCGUCAUUUCCUUUGUGCCGCCGGACGGCGAGUUCACGCUGCUCUCCUACAGGCUCAAUGAGCGCAUUCAGCAGCCGGUGAAGGUGAGCUGCAUCUUCACGCGCCAUGGCACCACACGAGUGAAGGUGCAGUGCACGCUGCAGACCAAGUACCGCACGAACCUCACGGCAAACGAGAUGGAGGUGUACAUCCCGAUUCCGUCCGACGCCGAUCGCCCUCAGUCGAACAGUCAGACAGGUCACCUGCAGUACGCGCCGCAGGUGAAUGCGCUUGUCUGGAACCUCGGCAAGAUUGCCGGCAACCGGCACUGCUCGUGCAGCGCGGAGUUCCACCUGCCCAGCAUCCGCAGUAGCGACAUGAGAGACCUGUCGAAGAUGCCGGUGAAGGUGCGGUUCGUCAUCCCCUACUUCGCCGCCUCCGGCUUCCAGGUGCGCUACGUGAAGGUGUCGGAGAAGUCGAACUACGUGGCAACGCCCUGGGUGCGGUACGUCACGCAGAGCGGCGUAUACGAGAUUCGAACAGACUGAUGAGGGAAAGAUGGGCAGGUGCCUUUGGGGGUGAGAGGAACAGAGGGGAGCGUCAUCGGAGGAACACAGCGACAGAAGACAGCGAAGAGGUGCGCUAAGGAGAUGCAGCCCUUGUAUACGCGAGAGGGCUGGAAACCGGCAGACAGAGGAACAACACGUACAGCAGCCGCCCCCUCCCCCAGCCGAGUACGCACUGCAGCUGCAGGGUCUGCAUUCGUCGAGUCCACUGUGGCCAACCUUGCGCGCCGAGUGUCGCUCGCCCUUCAACCCCUCCUCCCACCCCCAAGCACACCCGCAGUGCCGCGUUGCCUUUCUCAGGUAAUCUCCUUUGGUUUGGAGUAAAGGCGGCCGUCGCUUCCUUGGCGGCGGCUUGCCAUGCUGAGCGCUCUGCACUGGUGCUUCCUUCACUUUCCCCUUCUCUUCUCUCGUUGCUUUUACAUGGACGUAUCGUUGCCGCUUGUCUAUGUCUGCCUGUGCGUGCUGUCCCUCCCUAUCCUUCGGAGAGUUCACGUAUCGGUGAGGGUACAUGUGUGUGUAUGUGCAUGUGCCCGUCUGUGCGUGGCGGUGUUGCCUAACCUCCUCCGUGUUUCCCCCGCACCCCCCCUCCUCUUCCUCCUUUGAGAUGUGUGUGUGUGUGUGUGUUUGCUUCACGUGCACUGUGUGCAUGGCUAGUUGACACCGCGCCGUCCACGUCCACGGUGGCGACGUUUCAUGCACACAGCGCCCGUCGAGACCACCGCGCCCCGCUGAAGGAGAUACACAUAACACACGUGCGGCUGCGGAUGUGAUGUGGUCGGGGGAGCAAAGGAAAGAGACGAGAAGGCAAUGGGGUCUCAGGGACACAUAGCAACGAGGGUAGGGGGUGUGGUGCUGCGAUGGCUUUCCAUAGCAUCGCCAGCGCCAUUGUCCCUUUUCCUCCGCCCAUGCCACGGCUCUCUCCCUCUCUCUAGUCCGCCCCACACGCCGCUCACUGCGCACACGCAGACACGCACCGGUGCAUCUCUGCCUCUUCCCUUUCCCUCGUCCUCUCGUUGUCGAGGGUCAUCUGUCGUUCGGCUCUCCACACCUUCGCUGGCCUCACCCCCUCCCUUUUUCUGGCACGGGCGUGCGCCCGACUCUACUUCUCUCUCU
rnacentral:misc_RNA from 1 species